rnacentral:rRNA from 1 species
UACGGGGGGGGCAAGCGUUGUUCGGAAUUAUCUGGGACGUAAGGGCGCGUGAGGCGGUUCGCUAAGUUGGAAUGUGAAAACUCUGGCUUACCCAGAGCCUGCAUCCAAAACUGGCAAACUUGAGUACUGGAGGGGAAAGCGGAAUUCCUGGUGGUAGCGGUGAAAUGACGUAGAUAUCAGGAGGAACACCGGUGGCGAAGGCGGCUUUCUGGACAGUAACUGACGCUGAUGCGACGAAGCUAGGGGAGCAAACAGG